AAAAUAUCACUGUUCACAUUUUCCGUGUAUCCGAUUCCACUACUGUUCAUCAACAGGUUAUACUUAUCUCGCAAAUAAAGGUACUUAUUACCUUUUCUUGUUUGAAUUUUUCUAUUUGUACAUUUAGUGUACCGACCACGUCACAAGAGGAGGGUCUACGACAAAUAAAUAAAUUGUGGGCCCCCUCUUAUGAAUGUGUCUGUCAACUCCGGUGUAGGACACCGAUGUAUAUGUAGACAAAUUCUUCUUGCUUUGUGUUUUGCUUUUGGAUCUCUAUUUCCAGUCGACUCCGACAUACACUUUGGGGAGGAGGAGACAAUGAAGACAAAGGUCCCAAUUGUUACAAAUAAAAGCAUGUCUUUGUUUACUGGUUUCCCAAUUGAAAACUUGUUGGCUGUGGCCACCUCCACUUCUCCGAAGAGGCUCUUGAUUUCUCAUCCUCCACUCAAAGCACUCCUCGUUAAUCUAUUCGCUUUUGUCUGAAAAAAUUUUCAUCUGUCGUUUGGGUGAUGCUGUUGUUAAUUUCGGAUUCCUUAUUCUAGGAGUUCGGUGACAGAAGAUGGAAAAUCCGAAUGUGCUAUUGUCGAUAGGGAUGAAACUUGAUCAAAGGAGGUUUGUAUAAGAGGAAUUGGUCCCACUGCUCCAAAAUUCAAAAUUUUGAAGCCAUUCGGUGUUAUCCUUAGCUUUGAUGGGAUUGAUGUUGCCAAUGAUGGAACAGGUGAAUGAGACAAAUGUUCUUAUGGCUUGUAGACAGAUAGAUAAAAUAAUCCUUCUACACGAACAGAAGGAUGUUUGCCAAAAACUACGUACAGAAAACUCACAGUUCUAGAACCUACACACAUUUUUGACAUUUUUUAUACAACAUGGGGCCCACGCACUUGUCUCUAUUCUGUACACCGUCUGUGAAAAAUUUUUUGUACACCCAGAUUUUUUCUACAUAAAAUUCUCACAUCCUAUCUCAUUGCC